rnacentral:lncRNA from 1 species
UUUGGUCUCCUUAUUUGAGAAGGAAUAAGACUCCUAAUUUGGUUAGGACAUUAUCAAAUAAGUUGGCAUCAACUACUUAAGGGAGGGACCUAACUCAUCGUGAGUUAUGAAUUAUUUUUGUGCGACAAAAGGUGAGAAACCAUCAUGAGAUAUCAUGAGGAAAAAUAAGAAGGGAAUGGUGCUAAUUUCUUUUGGGUGUGGAGACCCCUUAGGCAUCUUUUUUUCCUUGGCAUGAAGGUCCUAUCCAAGAUCCCUUCCAUCCAUGAGAUAGGAUCUCAUCCCUCCCCUCGCUU